CACACUGGCACUGAGACACGGGCCAGACUCCUACGGGAGGCAGCAGUGAGGAAUUUUGCGCAAUGGGGGCAACCCUGACGCAGCAACGCCGCGUGUGGGAAGAAGGCUUUCGGGUUGUAAACCACUUUUGUAAGGGACGAAGGCUCCCGGGAUAAGACCCUGGGAGGAUGACGGUACCUUGCGAAUAAGCCACGGCUAACUCUGUGCCAGCCGCCGCCGUAACAC
rnacentral:rRNA from 1 species